UACGGGGGAUGCAAGCGUUAUCCGGAAUCAUUGGGCGUAAAGCGCCUGUAGGUUGUUUAAUAAGUCUGUUGUUAAAGACUAGGGCUCAACCCUAGAAAAGCAAUGGAAACUGUUAGACUAGAGUAUGGCAGGGGUAGAGGGAAUUUCUAGUGUAGCGGUGAAAUGCGUAGAUAUUAGAAAGAACACCGGUGGCGAAAGCGCUCUACUGGACCAUUACUGACACUCAGAGGCGAAAGCUAGGGUAGCAAAAGGGAUUAGAUACCCCUGUAGUCCUAGCCGUAAACGAUGGAUACUGGAUGUUGCGCUUGUGCAGUAUCGUAGCUAACGCGUUAAGUAUCCCGCCUGGGGAGUACGCUCGCAAGGGUA
rnacentral:rRNA from 1 species